rnacentral:lncRNA from 1 species
ACUCUAAAACUAUCCAUCUAGAAAUGUGUUUCAAUUCAAUAAGUCAAGUGAUAGUGAUUUGACUUUUUCUGGCCAGGGUACUACUUAAUUGAAAACACAAGGCAUUCACCCUUAUUUCUAAGAGAGGUCAAUCCCAUCUUGAUCUGUAACUGACUACCACAAGUACUUGACUGGAUCCAGAAACCUUCCGUCGCUGGAUUAGAAAUCCAGGUAGUCCAGCACCAAAGUACAGUGAGUUGCUUGCAAGCCACCGGUUGCAAUCUCAGGUCUAAAGGAUACAUAUACCCAUAUCCACUCGGAACAACUCUUGAUAAGAGAGAGUCCGUCAAUUGGUCACGUUCAGUGAACGUACACUACCAUUCACCUGUAUACCAUACUAGUAUCUCUAUACUCUUUAGUUUGGAAGACAACCAACAAAUAUUAUACACAAUGACCUACGCCCGAUAAUACUAUCAUCCUGUUAAUAGUAUAUCAUACGGUCAUGAACAUUUAAGGAUCUGUGUGACAAAAUCAUAUUUCAUUACACAAAGCAGUCCUAAGGACUUCAUCACAUCAGGAGUUCAUGAAGAUGUACUGGUGAUGAAUAAAUACCAAAUAACAUUUAUUAAUUUUAUUGAUUCAUUUACAAUUACAAUCAUCGAAUGAUUGGUCUUAGGACACGAUUCCCAACAUUUUUCUUUCCUACUUGAUCAAUCACCUUCAUCAAUUUAAGGAUGUACGUGGCAUCGUGCAUCUGAUCGAAAGCAUAG